rnacentral:lncRNA from 1 species
CCUUGAGCACCAUGGGGAGAACGGAGGCGCUGGCUAGCUGCAUGGCGAAGAGGCUGGCUUCUUCGUCGGAGACUUGGGUUGGAGUCAUCUGAGUCUCUCUGGUUGAAUCCAUUUUAUUGAUUUUGGUAUUGGGUUGGUCGGUUGAGAGAGACAGAGAGUAGCGAGGGGGGAGGAGAAGGCUGUGCUAAGUGGCAAUAUAUAUUGAUUUCUUUGCUCACUCACCACCAUUGAUGUGGUAGUACCAAGGCGUUCACCACCCAUGCAGGCCCCGACAUGUAAGGCCGGCCUUGAGGGUAGCCGAAGUAGGUGCCUGCCUAAGGCUUUCACUUUGCAGGGGCCCCAGAUUUUAAAAAAUAUAUAUAAAAAUAAAUUUUACAAUUAAAAUUCAAUAAAAAUAUCAAAAAAUAAUAUCAUAGGCUAUUGAAAAAGAAUUGGUUGAAAAUCAGAUUAUGUAAACUUAAUUAGUAUGACAUAUUUUGAGGAAAAUUCCUUAUGAGGAUUUGUAGGGGACCUCUCUAGCUUUCAAAAGAGACUCAAAAGAGACAUUUUGGGACCAAAUCGAAGUUGAUUUGGUCGGUCAAAAGUCUGAUUUUCUGAUAAGUCUGAAUUUAAGUUUAAAUAGAAACUUUUUAUUUCAAUUUUAUUCUAAGACUUUUUAGGGUUUUAUUUUGUAGUAGUAUAAAUAAGACUUUUUAGCCAUUAGAGUUAGAAGGGAAGGAGAGGAGGAAACGCAUGCAUACUUUAGAGAGUUUUUUAAGUAUAUUUUCUAGGUGUUUUCUAUCCUUAUUCUUAAUAAUAUUUUGUUUUAUGAUUGUUCGCAGGUAGUUUCUUUUGCUAAGACGAAGCCACAAGCUUUAGCAUGAAUAUAUGUGAUUUUAUUAAUUAGCUUAUGAAUGAAUGCAUGUUUGCUUUGAAUUAUUAAUAUACCAUGAUUAAACUAUCUAAUUGUCUUAGUGAUUCGCGACCAUUAGGGUUUUUAGACAAAUAAUUUGAUGCAAUUUUUGUUGAAAUAUCACCUUGAAAUUGAGGAGGGCUUCUUGUGAUUACUAAUUGUAAGUUCACUUAAGGCGAACAUCACGUUCUUAAGGGUUGCAUGGUUUUUCAAAGGGUUUUCACAAAGCUUAAUGAGUCUUGCAUGUUUAUAUUUGAUAUACAUCAUAGACGGAUUGCAAGUUAGAUAUACGUUUUCGCUUGAACAUCACGAGGAAAAUAUGCAUUAGGAAAACCUAACAUUCAAAGCAUGUAUGUAGAAAUUCAUAAGUAAUUGGUAAAAUUGCAUAGGAUUGUUAAGGGGACGGCGGAAUCCUAGACUUUUACAAUUUGAUUUUCAAAACGUUUUUCUUUUGCUUUCUUUACUUUGUCAAAUAUUUAAUUAUUUUUAUUUAAAUUCGUUUUUAUUAUUUUAAAUUCCAAAAUCAACCUUUUCAAAACUUUGUUCUAAAUAAUUAGCUAAGAAUUAGUUUAAAUACAAAUUAUUCAUUCAAUUCAUGUGGAAAACGAUAUUGCUUGAGCCGCUAUACUACGACAAUCUUGUACUCUUGCAAUUAUUUUUAAGUGUUUUUAUCCCUACUUGUGUAGGUGGUAAAAAUCCUAUCAAAAAUCAUAAAUUUUCUCUCAGAAAUUCAAGAAACGAAAAUUCUUUGUCUGUUUUUAUAUGUUGUGGAGACCCAAUCUGACUUGUGUGUUCUUCCAGGUCGAUCUCGGCCGAGGGUUUUAGACCUCUUUAUUUUUCCAUAUUUUCGGAUUAUUCCCUCAUAAUUAGGGAAUUAAAUUGUUCCUAUUAUUCGGUAAAAUCUAAAACGAUUUGCAGCUUUGAUUUGGCCUUUGCAUGUUUGUGGUAUUUGAAAUUAUGGUUUUUUUUGGGGAUUGGAUUUUGGGAUUUAAGUUGAAUUCGUAUGGGUAUUUUUUCAGAAAUUUUUGUUGUUUCCGUGUUGGAAUUAAAAGAACUAUUCAUGUUGGAUUUUUACAUAAGUGUGUCUCAGCUGUUGUUUUCGUUUUGUUGUGUGAUUUUUAUGUGGUGUUUAUAUGUGCAGGCGCUUGUGUUAGUAUUUUGUGUUUUUAUUUUUGUCCCAGCUGCUGAACUUCAUUUUCAAUUUCGUUUAAUUUAUGGAUUAUCAGAUGUUGUGGUUUGGCAUGCAUUGUAAUAUGAUUUGAACGAGUCUAAUUAAUUUUAAUUUUUCAUGAUUCCGGUAGCAAAUUGCAUCGCUGCGGUUUUCUGGGUCUCUUGGACCGUAGUCAGAGAGGAAAAGAACUAGAAAUAGCAAAAGAAAUCAAGGGAUACAAGAAGAUCAUACUUCUGACAUUGCAAAUGGAAUAGAAAUGUUUAACGAAAAUGUUUCUGGUCAUUCGUUUCUUCUCAGCUAUCAAUUUGUUGCUUGGAGUUUACGUUUUUUUUGCACACAAUGCCAAAAAGAAUUAGGAAUAACAAAAACAAUUAGAUCAUAUAAGAUUAUAUUUGUGUCGUUCGCCGCAGCGGAACGCGGGUGUUUUUGCUAGUGUUAUACUCAAAGUCAAUGGGUUAUUUUUUUAUGAUUUUACUGGCUUUUAAUUUUGUUUCUUAUUGUGUUCUAGAAGCUGAACAAAUAUAAUGACAACAUGAAUAACGGGAAAGCCUAUAACAUAAUACCAGUUUGAAUGAACAUCAUGGAUAAUAAUUUGAUAGGUACGUCAUGAAAAUAAUAUGAAUGUCGUUUUAUUAUUCCCUUCUUGCCAUUUUUUCCGUUUUAGGAGAGUUCUUGUGUAUGAGCGGUUGUAUGUCGAAAUCAAUUGACGGGUAAGUUCGGUUGAUAAGAAGAUCCAUGAGGUUUUGAUUUUGUGUUUGUGGCAAUAUAGACAUGUAAUUUGUCCGUCGUAGUUGUCACUUGUAUUAUAGGAAUAUAAUAUUUAAUUGUAAUUAGUGUAAGAUUCCUAUUUCAAUAGGGUGUAACCUUGUAUAUAUUUUGUAAUAUUUUUCACAUAACAGUACAAAGAGUCAUGAUUCUACAUGUUAUCAAAGCAACAAAAUCACUUUCUUAUUAUUAUUUUUCUAACUUAUGAAAACCUACUUAUGUGUAAUGUCCACGUACGGAUACACGAUCACCAUAUAAAAAACCAAAGCAAUAUAAAUGCAGAUGGCAGCAUACCAAGGGCAAAUUAUACUCAAUUCUUCUUAAGAAAUUCAAUGGCAUAGGUGUUGAAGGCAGAGCACACGACUCGAAAGCCUUGGAAUCCAGAUCCCUUAGCCAAGGCCUCGAACUCCUUCUCCGUCCUCUCUUUUCCGCCGGGGUUGUGAGCUAACAUGAUCUCGUCGAUAUGGACAACUCCCUGGUGGCAAGGCUGCUGUCCGGAGCUACUGGAAGAAUGCACUCAGCAACAAUUACCUUCCCAUUGUCAGGGAGCGCAGCAUAGCAGUUCUUCAAAAAUUUCAAGCAAUGCUCGUCACUCCAGUCGUGGCAUAUCCACUGUAAGAUUGCAUACAGGAUUUGAUAUUAGUUCCAAUUAUAUUGAGCAACUAAGCUCCUAUGAGAAAUUAAUAUUAGCACUACAAAAUAAUCAUCGGCUCUUUUUUGAUAAAUAAUAACUCACCUUCAUGAAAAUUGCAUCUCCCUUUGGAACACUUACAAACAUGUCUCCUCCAACAUGCUCCACACCUAUAUUCAACAUCCACUGACCUCAUAUUCGUUAGGAAAAAUGAUAAAUAGUACAAAUAUUAUUUUUAUAUACAAUAACAUUAGGGGAAGAGAAAUUGAACUUGAGAGAUCGAAUGUAAAGGUGAACGCUUUUAAGUAAUUGAACUACAAACAUUAUCAGAAAUGAAGAACAUACCAGGAUAUUGAGGAGCAUCUUCGAUGACAUGAGGCAAGUCGAAAUUAAUGCCCUUAAUCGAAGGGUAUUUAGAGACGAUCAUGUUAAGGAUAGCGCCAGUGCCACCACCAACAUCAACGAUGCAUGUGAGGCCCUCAAAGCCAUUGUAGUUUCUUCAAGAAGUUUCUUCAUGAGAGAGAGAUCGAAUGUAGUUCUCAAGUAGUUCUCAAGAAGUUUCACAUGAGUGAGGUCGAUAAGAUAAACAGCUUGACUUUUAUAUACAUUCAACUAAGCUAACAUGUAGAAUUAGUAUGUAAAGACAUUGCACAAUUAGUAGAAAGAAACUGAAUGUUCUUGAUCACAAAGACAUGGUCGGCAAAAAAGUUAUGUUUCCAUAAGAAACAGAAGCAACAUGUAGUUCACACAAAUUUUUUCCAUUAUAGUUAGCUUUUGAAAAAACUGCUACACCGUUUUACAAAUUCAAUCGUUAAACAUGAUAUUGUAUUCCAAGACAAAGAUAAAGUAUAUGGUUUGUUUACAAAUCAAAGCUAGAAACCCCAAAGCUUUUUGCAUAUUCAUCAUCUCUCUGAUCAUGAAAAAUUAAAAUUAAUAAUAAUCACUCAAAUCAUAUUACAAUAUAUAACAAACUAUGUCAUCUGAUAAUCGAUAAAUUUUAAGAAAAUUUAAAAUGAAAACCAUAAUCUGAAAUGUCUGAAUUUUCUCAAACACUUUCUGAGAAGCCAAACCAAAACAAAAAACAAAAACAAAAACAAAAGGAGAUGAAUGAGAAAUGAGAAACGAGUAAUUACCAUGUCUGGAUUUGGAUGAGGCGGGAAGAGAAGGCCAUGAUCGGUUCACAGUCUUCCUCUUCUUCUUGUAAUUUAUGUUCCUCUUUCAAAUUUCAAAAACAAAAAAUCCACCCAUACUUAAUUCCCAUAAAAAAAAAAUUAAAAAAAAAUAAAAAAACUAGUAUAAAAAUUUCAUGGCACCUAUAAAAAUUCACCGUCACUAGUAUAAAAACCACCCAUACUCCAUUCCAUUUCUUCCCAAAACCCAGGGAUUCGGUGCCAGAACUGCAUCUUCUCAGUUGUUGCAUAUCUUCUUGCUAAUGUGUCAUUGACUUCGCACGCCUAGAAACCAAGCCAUCACAAUGCAAACGCGAGUAUCUCUGAUUAGCAUCGAAGGGGGUUGGCUUGGAAACUAAGAGCUGAGUAUCAUUCAAGGGAUUAUUCUGUAGCGUUGUGCCUACUCCGGAUGAUGCCAAAGUGGCCCCUUGAAGAGGUAAUGAAGGUAGUCAUCUAUCUAGCCUUUGGAAAGGUGCACUAUAUUGCAUGAACAUGAGGAAAUGCGAACAAAUAAGAAUUAUAAAAACUAAAGUGAAUCAAACCCAUGGAUCUUAUUGGGAUUACCUUCAUAAAAGCUAAGCAUUUUGGAAAAAACAUUUUCAAUUAAAAAUAACUUUGAAAAUGUCUUUCUAUUCAAGUAUGUUGGCCCAAAAUUGAAAGUGAUAGAUGCUUUCGAACAGUUUAGUUUGUAACCAUCAUUAACAUUACAAUUUUUUAGAAGUAAUGUAGACGAAUAUAUUUAGUUGCAUCAGGCUCCUUAGUUUCCAAUUGACAUGCCAAUUUAUGAUCCAUUGCUCUUUCUUUUUUAGACAAUAAAUCGAAAACAUUGAUAUAACCAAAUGCAUUCGAUAAUAGAAAACUACGUAAAUUUCCUAAGAGAGUUCUUGAACGGAAGAACUGACAAAGUAUUGAGUUGAUGAUGGCUUUUAUACCUACCCCAAUGAAUAGCUGCUGGAAGAAGUAUCUCAGGAAUAAGCAAUGCCUAUAAUGGAUUGCUCGAAAGCGCAUAUUCUUUGAAUUCCUCACCGCAAGGACAACAGCAAAGAGCACCGAUCUCUGCAUUUCCACCAAUAUAUACAAAAGAGUCAACAUUUGAGUUUAUAUUUUACUUAAAAUAUGAUUUUAGCCCUUCCAACUCAAUUUUCUUCAUAUAAAACCCUACAUAACUUUUUUACUCAAAGAAAACCCAAUGACUAGGAUCCACAUAAGCAAAUUCAUUAAUUUCAAUAUUACUUCACACAUUUUACAUUUUUCACAUGCCUAAAAUACCCCUAUUACAUAUUUGAUGUAGACAAUUAAUUGUAAGGAGAGAGUAAAUGAUUUUGCAACAAGAAAAACAAGACAUUAAUGUUAAAAAUUUAUUGCAUAUUAAUUUUUUUAGAAAGGCUUUGAAUUUUCAUAAACUAUUUGAUUAGUUUUUUUCACGCUACUCUUGAACACUUUUGAAUUUAUCCUUUUUUUAUUAAUAUAUUAGAACAUUGUAUUUCAUUAUCUACAUGCACAUUAAUUUACCUACAACAAUUAUACCAUGAGUGUAAUAUAAUAUCUCUUUUUUACAAUGAUGCAAAAUAAUGUUUAUACCAACAACAAAACGUGCCUAACAUAUGUACUAAUACAUGGAAAAUAAUUUACCUAUAUUAAGAAGAAAUGUAGUUCGAUGCGUAGUAUUAAAAAUACUAUGUUACACCCAUGUUUAUACAACAAUAAAACGUGCCUAACAUAUCUAACAAUACAUGGAAAAUAAUUUAUCUACAAGUUAGAUAAAUGUUAUUUGGUCGGGUGUAUAUAAAUUGUUUUAAUAAUUGGAAAAAUUAAAUAUAACUAGGUGUAGUGAAAUUUUUUUCUAUAAUUAGAACAAAUUAAUUUACCUACCUACUAUUUGAAAUGUUCAUUUCUAAUGAUGCAAAAUGUUCAUUACCUAACUACAAAAUAAUUUCCAAUAAUUUACCCACAACAAUUAUACCAUGGGUGUAAUGUAAUAUCUUUCUUUACAAUGAUACAAAAUAUUGUAUGUAUACCAACAACAAAAUGUGCCUAACAUAAGUACUUGUACAUGGAAAAUAAUUUACCUAUAACAAAAGAAAUGCAGUUUGAUGUAUAAAAUCAACAAUAAAUUUACCUACAAGUUAGAGGAAUGUUAUUUGAUUCAAAAUAUAUAAUAUAGGUGUAGUAUUUUUUUUUAAAUAAUUGGAACACACUAAUUUACCUACCAAUUAAUAUGGGUAAAAUUGCUACAAAAUAUAUCACGAAAAAAAAAACUACUUUUCUAGUUUGACAUGGAUACGGUUAAUGCAAACACUUUUUACAUUUUAUUUCACUUUUUCUACUACUUUUAUUUUGGCAUAAAUUUAGGAAUUUGGAAAACGGACCAUAAAGUAUGAGUGGCAUGAGUGUAAAUAAAUUGUAUUUAUAGGUCAAUAGUGUUCCCAUAUAUUUGCAAAUUUUAAAUUUUGGCUUAAACUGGAUCUUUAAAGAUAGAUGAGUUUUUAUCUAGAAAUAAUAAGUUGUAAGGGCCAAAAUCUAAAGCACCCUAUUUUUUUUUCAUAUUCUGUUUCUUCAUUUUCUUCUAUAUCACUUUCUAUACUCAUAUAUAUACUCAUAGUUUAGUUUAUAUUGGACAGGACCGAUCAUCAUAUGCUCAUAUAUAUGCGUUUGUUUAAUCAAUAAUGCUAUUUAAAGGUACAAAACUAAUCGCAUUUCUGAGACACUCGAAAAUAGCGGUGGACUCUACAAAUACACGCAAAACAUACAUGUGCUAAAGAAUCUAUAACAAUGCGAUUAAUUUUGGGAGUCUAUAUAGUAUUACUUGUUAUUUAUUUAUUGCCUAUCUGAUUAUGGCUUCUCAUGGCAGGUAGGAAUGCUUCUGUAAUUUGGUUGAUUUAAUUUCUUGAUCAUAAUACCAAUUUGAAUGAACAUCAUGGAUAAUAAUUUGACAGCUACGUCAUGAAAAUAAUAUGAAUGUCAUUUUAUCAUUUCCUUUUUGCCAUUUCUCUGAUUUAGGAGAGUUCUUGUGUUGUGUAUAAGCGAUAUGUCGAAAUCUAUUGACGGGUAAGUUCGAGUGAUAAGAAAAUCCAUGAGGUCCGAUUUUGUGUUUGUGGCAAUACAGACAUGUAAUUUGUCCGUUGUACACUAGAUUCUUUCAUUUUUUAGACCCUAUUGCAUGGGUAUGAUUCCAAAUUUAUAACAUACAAGCAUGUUAGAAUAGAAUUAAUUAAUCCAGAAUUUUAUUCAUAGUUGUCACAUGUAUUAUAGGAAUGUAAUAUUUAAUUGUAAUUAGUGUAGGAUCCUAUUUCAAUAGGGACUAAUGUAACCUUGUAUAUUUAUUGUAAUAUUUUUCACACAACAAUACAAAGAGUCAUAAUUCUACAUGUUAUCAAAGCAACAAAAUCACUUUCUUAUUAUUUUUUUGUAACAUAUGAAAACCUACUUAUCGUGUAACAUCCACGUAUGGAUACACGAUCACCAUAUAAAAAACCAAAGCAAUAUAAAUGCAGAUGGCAACAUACCAAAGGUAAAUUAUACUCAAUUCUUCUUAAGAAAUUCAAUGGCAUAGGUGUUGAAAGCAGAGCACACGACUCGAAAGCCUUGGAAUCCAGAUCCCUUAGCCAAGGCCUCGAACUCCUUCUCCGUCCUCUCUUUUCCGCCGGGGUUGUGAGCUAACAUGAUCGCGUCGAUAUGGACAACUCCCUUGGUGGCAAGGCUACUGUCCGGAGCUACCGGAAGAAUGCACUCAGCAACAAUUACCUUCCCAUUGUCUGGGAGCGCAGCAUAGCAGUUCUUCAAAAAUUUCAAGCAAUGCUCGUCACUCCAGUCGUGGCAUAUCCACUGUAAGAUUGCAUAAAGGAUUUGAUAUUAGUUCCAAAUAUAUUGAGCAACUAAGCUCCUAUGAGAAAUUAAUAUUAGCACUACAAAUAAUCAUCGGUUCUUUUUUGAUAAAUAAUAACUCACCUUCAUGAAAAUUGCAUCUCCCUUUGGAACACUUACAAACAUGUCUCCUCCAACAUGCUCCACACCUAUAUUCAACAUCCAUUGACCUCAUAUUCAUUAGGAAAAAUGAUAAAUAGUACAAAUAUUAUUCUUAUAUGCAAUAAUAUUAGGGGAAGAGAAAUUGAACUUGAGAGAUCGAAUGUAAAGGUGAGUGCUUUUAAGUAAUUGAACUACGAACAUUAUUAGAAAUGAAGAACAUACCAGGAUAUUGGGGAGCAUCUUCGAUGACAUGAGGCAAGUCGAAGUUAAUGCCCUUAAUCGAAGGGUAUUUAGAGACGAUCAUGUGAAGGACAGCGCCGGUGCCACCACCAACAUCAACGAUGGAUGUGAGGCCCUCAAAGCCAUUGUAGUUCUCAAGAAGUUUCUUCAUGGUAAUGGUAGAGUGGUCAGCCAUUCCCUUGUUGAAGACCUUGUUGAAUCUGGGGUCAGUGCCAUGGUACUCAAAAGCAGUCAUUCCGUAGGCCUUGUUGAAUGGGAUACCUCCUUCAAGGACUGCAUCUUUCAAGUUGUACCUGCACAAACCCGAAACAAGCAUGCAUGACUCAUUUGUGUUUAAAGCUUAAUCUACAAGGAAAGGGCCGGACCCUUGAAAUUUGAUUCAACAACUACAAAUAAGAAGGCCCCUUUAAAAAUUAUAAUAACUUUAAUCGUUGAAUCAAAUAUCAAUAGUCUGAAUAAGUGGACUUGAUAGACUUGAUGGAAGGGAUCCGGAGAGAAUCAUUUUCCAAUCUACAAUACCAAAGUACAAGCAAUCUUGUAAACUAGGCCAACCGACAUUCCACGUGUUUCAAGGCCCGCAUAACUCACAAUAAUCAGAUAAUUUAUGGGUUUGUUAAAACAACUCUCCCUUCUUUUAUUGAAUUCGGAUCCUCUUUGUAGGAAUAUUAAGAAUCUUAAAGAUUCGUAAAUCGUAUCAAUUCAUUGUACAUCGUACGAUCAUAAAACUAUUUGCAUUUUUUUAUUUAAAAUUAAACACAAACAACACUUGAUGAAAUCUGACCGUACGAUCACAGAUCUUCAGGAUUCUCACAAAGAAGAUUCAGAGAGAAUUUGUUGGUCUUUUAUUGACAUGGAUUGCGUCAAUCAGUUAGUAAAAUAGUAUCCUUUUAUAUUUGAGUACAAAUUAUCAUUUUUAUAGUUUUGAUAAAAAUGAGGGAGGAAGUUAAUUUAAAUUUCACCUCUAGCUAAUUGACGGAACUUACACUCCAUAUAGAAGAAUAAAAUAGUUAAAACAUACAGUUGUCCUAAGGAAAAAGAUUGAUAAGAAAUAAACGUGUAACAUCGAAACACUUUGGUGUGGUUGUUGAAGUGGUUUUACCAACUUUCCACUCCUAAUUUGAUUUAAGUGGAAAUCAUAAAACAGGUGACCAGUCAUCAUAUAGCGUAAUGCUAGAAAAAUAAAAUUUAAAAAUAAAAUUUACAAAUUAAUUGAUAUGAAAAUUAAUUGUUGAAUUAUUACUUAAAAGAUGAGACAUUAAUAAACAUGAUUUUUUUUUAUUAAUGACAUAUAAUUUAGUUUAAAAUUUUUAUUUAAAAUUUGGUUUCUUUAAAAGUCUGACAAGAAGUCAAUUUGGAGUCUUGUCCGUCCCCAACCGCCUAAUGGGCCAAAAGUAAUAUGAACAACGAAGAAAACAUUAGGAAAAAUAAAUUUUAACGAAAAAGUUUUGAUAUUUUUUAUUUUAAUAAAAAAAUUAUAAUUUUACAUUAAAAAAUCAUUUAUAAUACUAUUCAUUUUAUUUUUUAUUUUAUCUUAAAAUUUUCAAACCAAUUUUUAUUAGUUUUUCUUAGGAAAAAAUAGAGAACAAUCACAUAUUAAAGCCAUAACUCACAGUUCGUACGUAACAUUUUAUGAAUAUUGUAUUAUUAUCAACCUAUUUGAACCCCAUUAAUUAAUGUUUGUUAACGAUCAAAUUAAGAUGAUAAAUAAAGAAGAAGAAUGGUAAUUACCAGCUCUCCAUAAGGACCUUGUCCUGAUUCAUGAGGCAGAGAGAACCAAUGGAAGCACCAUCCUCGCUCUUUGUCAAGAACUUGCAGACGGGGCCGAGGCCGUACAGCCGCUCGACUUUGCCGUCGGGAAGUGUGCGGAGGGAGUAAGUGAGGAUAGAGUAGCUGGCCAGGACGCGCAGCAUGCGGUCCAGCAUGACGGAGGCGUCAGGGUUCUUGGUCGGCAGCUGCGAAGAUAAGUCAGCCGGAGAAACAAAAGCGCCAGGCCCGGCUUUUGCCAUGAUCUCGAGGAGGUCGAGCUCGAUGGCUGCCUUGAGCACCAUGGGGAGGACGGAGGCGCUGGCUAGCUGCAUGGCGAAGAGGUUGGCUUCUUCAUCGGAGACUUGGGUUGGAGUCAUCUGAGUCUCUGGGGUCGAACCCAUUUUUUGGAUUUGGUGUUGUUGAUGGUGUUGGUGUUGGUGGGGAGAGAGAGAGAGAGAGAGAGAGAGAGAGAGAGAGAGAGAGGAGGAGGAGGAGGAGGAUGAGGAGGACUGAGGGUGGAAGAGAUGGUGUGUGCUAAGUGGUAAUAUAUAUGUAUUUCCUUGCUCACCCACCGCCAUUGCUGUAAAAGCAAGGUGUCCACCACCCAUGCAGGACCCCACAUGCGUCCCACACGUCUUUACCUUUUAGAAAGCUAAUUAAAAUAAUUUCAAUUCUUUAUCUGCUUUUGUUUUAUUUCUUUUUUAGGAGGGUGUGUAGUCGGAAUUCACACUCAAUAUGAAGGAUUUGUACAAGCUUUGUUAGAUUAGUUGUUUAAUUAAGAGUAUAUAUUUAAUUUGUGUUUGAUUUUUCUCCCCUUAAUUUUGUUGUUUAAAAAGAAAUAUGAAUAAUUUACAAAUCCAAACUUUCCUAUUAAAAAGUGCAAUUUUUCUUCGAAUGUUAUACUCAAGGUCAAUGGGUUUUGAUUAAAGGGAAAGCCUGUCACAUCAUUCCACUAUAUAGUAUACAUCACCAGUUCGAGCAUAAGCAUGCCAAAAUAAAGAUGACAAAAAAGGUAAACCCUUCAAUCCAACGGGGAAAAAACUAAGCAAGUUUUUCUACAGAAAUACAGCAUGACAUGACAAGGGAUAAUUGGAGAAAAGAAUAGUGAAUUGUCCCUCCGAAGUCCUUCUAGCUGGUGAUAGAGCAUAAAUUUACAAUAAGGUCGUUAUUAUUUAUUUAUUUAUUUUUAAUAGUGUGUGAAAUGAUUUUAAUCUUCAAUUUUCUCUUUAGUUGAUUCGGCAAAUUUUAUAAGAUGAUAAUAAGGACAAUAAUGUUUUAUAGCAUUGAAUGUUGAGCGAUCAAGCAUUAAUAUAUUUCAUAUGAGUCUCCUCAUAGUAUUCUUGAUCAAGCAUCAUAUUUUCUUCAAGCUCGAAAGGUAACAUAUACUGAUUGAGAGACUUUUAGCCUAAAUGAUCCAUAAGAUUGGUAUAACUCCUCACUCUAGUUCCUGACAUUGAAAAUUGAUAUAAUUGGUCUUUGAGUUUGUCCCCUGUAAAUCAUUUUUUGUCAUUCUGUGAAAAAAUAUGUCAAUAUCAUCGUUAAAUGGAGGGGUUAGUUUGACAAAUAUCAUCAUUAAAAAGAUUGUUGUGUGGUCGUCCACAUGACAAUUUAACGAGGAUAGUGGCAAAUUUUUCACGGAAUAAAAUAAUUUACAAUGAACAAACUCAAAAACCAUUUCUAUUGAUUUUCAUUAUUAAGGAUCAAAUUGAGGAUUAUGCUAAUUGCCUAAAAGCCAUGAUUUAGAUGGUAUCAUUGUCAUGGUUUGUGUCAUCGUGACUCAUCCAUGAUGUAUGAAAGGGAUAGGUAUUUCUAUUGGAAAUUUACAAAUAAGAACAAAAAUAAAAAACAAGAGUGUGACAAUUUAAUAAGGAGUUGGCCCGGUAUCUUAUAAUAUGCUAUUACCUAAGCUGCGGUGCAAGAUCAAAUCAGUUGGUGAGUGGAACCUAUCAAUAUUCAUUUCCAAACGUUAUAAUACUUGACCUAAUUUAUAUAAAUAUGGUGGUGUUACUUAGAAGACAACAAUUAUGCCUUCUCCAUACUGAUUCAGGUAUUGUAUUAGGGGUGUGCUAUCCACACACCCCAAAUUACUUCCCACACACCUCUUGUUAAUUUCUGUCCGUUGAUCUUCUUCAAUUCAUCUGAUCCGACUGCUGAAAAUUAAAAGGGUGUGUGAGAAGUAAAAUGGGGUGUGUGGAUAUCACACCCCUUGUAUUAUUGAUUUCUCCAACUCCACUUAAGCUGAAAGGUGUAAAACGUUUAGUUCUCAUGCUUCAUUGGGACAUCAUUCGCACAUGAAUUGUGUGAGUAAGUUGAUUAUCGUCAUUCUUGUUUUGUGAGUUUUACAUGCAUGAACAGUCUGAAUUAGUUUAAAUCUAUAUUAUACGACGUUAAAUUAAAUAAUCUAUGAAAAUUCAGAAAAAGAAAACAGUUUAAACAUAGACAUCGAAUCUUACUUCAUAUUAAUGUUAAUAGUUGCUCAAAUUAAUUAAUUAACAAACUCCUGUGUUGAAAAUUGAAACAAAUGAAAACUCCAUUUGGUAUUAAUUAGGUUUACAAAUGGUAUUAUAUAAUUGGUCGCGGUUGGACAAAUCAAAGGGGAUCACAUCUCACCUAAUCUUUGAACAUGUAGAUGUCGGAUCAGACGCAGCUAUUGGUGAAAAAAUCAAAGUGCUACUUCCACAUCUUAAUUGGACCCCAUCUUUUUCUGGAACAAACUUAACAUUUCCAGAGACCCAGACCCUGAGAUGUAAAAAGAAAAAGUUCGACAAAAUUCAGAACCAGAAGAGGUCCAAACUCCUAAGGUGUCACCUCUUUAACAAAACAUCCUCACCAACCCUGCCAACAAAAUCCUCAUUUCAGGAUUUGUAAAUCAUGUAUAUUUAUCGUAUAUCGUACAAUCAAUUUUUGUUAAAUACUGUUUGUGUUCAAUUUUAAAUAAAAAAACUUAAAACAAUUAAUGAUCUCACGAUAUACGAUAAACGAAUAUAAUUUAUAGAUCUCCAAAAUUCUCACAAAAAGAAUCUGAAAAGAAUCCAAAUUCCCAACCCUGCAAAAGCAUUAAGAAUUAUAUAAAAAAAGAUUAUUAGCUUAACGUGUUUGAUUAUAAUAUUUGGUCAACAAUCAAAUGGAAUAAAGGAGGAUACGUUAAGAUAUAAGGGUAUUAUAUAUAUUAAUUGUAAUGUUCCACCAAAUACAUUAUAAUUGGUAUAAGAUAUAUAAGUAGGAGUCAACACUAGAAAUCGAAAACCGAAGCCAAAAUACGAAUUAAGCUGGACCGCAUUGAACAGUUAAGUUUUUGCAAUUUUGAUACGAUUUUGAUUUGCAACCCAACCACAUCACAAAUGAAAAAUGACUGAUUCCUAACAAUCAUACGUUUGUACGUUUCCUUUCUUUGCUGCUACUUUAUCUAAUCUCUUUUGUGGUGAAUUAUUUCAAAGGGUCAAAUCUUUGAUGCAUAUAGCUCUACAAUUGAUGAAAGUUAAUUGUAGGUGGAGAG